ensembl:lncRNA
GCCGCCCCCUGGGGCGGCCCUGCAGAAGGCCCGACGCCUCCUCCGUCCCCGGGCGGAUGGGCCAAACUCCCGGCCUGGCCAAAGCACAGCUCCUGGCCGGGUAAAGGCGGAGGGAGGGUCGGGGACCCCGAGUCCUGGCGCCCCCGGCCCGAGAGGCAGCCGUAGCGCGGCCUGCGGAGUGGAGGCUGCGGGAUGUCGCGACCUAAAAUGGUGUCCGUGACCGGGGAUGGGGGCGGGGGAGCCGGGCCGGGUCGGGCCGGGCCGAGCCAAGAGCGGAGCCUGCAUCCCGGGGCGCAGGUCAGCGCCCGGCCCCCCCAGGACUCCUCUCGCGUCCCAGGCCCACCGCACGCCUUGCACCCUCCCGGCUCCCGGGGGAGCCUCCGGGGUCCGCGUGGAGGAGGCGGCGCCGCGCACGGCGGGCAAGGGCCAGGGCCGGGGCCGGGGCGCGUCCGAGCUGGGACACUGGGGGCCGGGGGCCGGGAGCCGCGCGGGGCCGCCCCUCCCCCGCUCCCUCCCCCGCCAGUGCUCUGGGCCUCGAGGUGCUGCGCUGCUCCCGGAGGGCCUGGGGCCUGGCCAGGCCCGUCCCUCGCUUCGCGGUCGGCGGGAGCGAGUUGGGGUCCCCCGCUUGGUCCAAGCAGUGCCAGCUGCCACCUGCUGGGACUGUUUCCAGUUACAGCCUGAGGGCUGAAAGGAGGUCUGGGACCUGCCGCUAUGGGGGACAUGAAGACCCCUGAUUUUGAUGACCUCCUUGCUGCCUUUGACAUCCCUGACAUCGAUGCAAAUGAAGCUAUACACUCUGGGCCAGAAGAAAGUGAGGGGCCCGGAGGCCCGGAAGCCAGAGCCCAGUGUGGGAGGAGAAACUGAAGGCACAGCAGCAGCAGCUGAGGAUGACCCCGAGGUUCCAGGUGCCAUACCUCUGAGCACGGCCUGCAGUGCCAGACACUUCCACAGUCAGCGUCAUCGUGAAGAACACUGUGUGUCCGGAGCAGUCUGAGACCCUGGCUGGGGGUGCAGGAAGGGGAAGGGCCCAGGCUGGGGGAGUAACCAAGGAAGAUGCUUCAGGGGCUUCUCUGAUGCGAGGAUGGAUUUGGGGUCUGUGAACCAUCCCUUCCAGGAGCCCCACCCUCCCCAGCUCCUUCCAGUGAGGGUACCUGGAAGGAAAAAGCUGUGGAAGGCAAAGCCCCCUUGGACCUCUUUGCUCAUUUUGGUCCUGAGCCAGGGAGCACCCAGACCCCCUGCCUCCUCCUGCGCCCUCCCCCACCUCCUGACGGGGCCAUGAGCCCUCCUCCUUUCCCCUCACCCCUUUGAGCUGGCCCAGGAGAAUGGCCCCACGCUGUUGCCACCUAGCUCUUCCCCACAGUCUGGGGCCCUUGAAGCAGGGGCUGCUGCAGCCCACUUCAUCCCCAGGGCCAAGGCCAGCGAGGCUCAGGCUCUAGUCCUGAGGCCACAGGCAUCCCUGAAGGAACCUCGCCUCCCCAGGUUGAUGGGGUGCCCUUUUUUCAAGCAGUCCCCAGGGCACCAGAGCCCUCCUGCCUCUCCUGACGUGCCCAGCUCUAAGCACCUGAAGGAAGAUGAGGGGCUGGUGGUCAAGUCUCCCCCCUCGAAGUCCCCAGAGUCCCUCUAGUGGUGCCGAGGCUGCAGAUGAGGACAGCAACGACUCCCUGCCUCCUCCAACUCCUCUCGGCCCCUCAAGGUGCGGAUCAAGACCAUUAAGACAUCCUGUGGGAAUAUCACGAGGACUGUAACCCGGGUCCCCUCAGACCCUGACCGCCCUGCCCCUUGGCCGAGGGGGGCCUUCCUGGCCGAGGCUGAGCCUCCUGAAGCUGUCCCCUGCGGCUCCAGCCCCCGAGGCCCCGAAGGUGGUGAGUGUGCAGCUGGGCGACGGCACAAGGCUGAAAGGCACAGUGCUGCCCGUGGCCACCAUCCAGAACGCCAGCACUGCCAUGCUGAUGGCAGCUAGUGCUGGCCCGAAAGGCUGUGGUUCUGCCUGGGGGCUCUGCCACCAGCCCGAAGAUGAUGGCUAAGAACGUUCUAGGCCUGGUGCCCCAAACCCUGCCCAAAGCUGAAGGGCGUAAGGGGCUGGGGACCGGGGGUCAGAAGGUGAACAGGGCCUCAGUGGUGAUGGUGCAGCCGCC